rnacentral:rRNA from 1 species
GAUGAACGCUGGCGGCGUGCCUAAUACAUGCAAGUCGAGCGAACAGACGAGGCUUUUGCCUCUCUUCCGUUAGCGGCGGACGGGUGAUUAACACGUGUCUAAUCGAUCUAUAAGACUGAGAUAACUUCGGGAAACCUGAUCUAACACCGGAUAAGAUAUUGAACCGGGUGGUUCAUUAGAGAACGCCGUUUUUGCUGUCACUUAGACAUGGUUCCUCGCCGCAUUAGCUAGUUGGUAAGGUAACGGCUUACCAAGGCAACGAUGCGUAACCGACCUGAGAGGGUGAUCAGCCACACUGGAACUGAGACACGGUCCAGACUCCUACGGGAGGCAGCAGUAGGGAAUCUUCCGCAAUGGGCGAAAGCCUGACGGAGCAACGCCGCGUGAGUGAUGAAGGUCUUCGGAUCGUAAAGCUCUGUUAGUAGGGAAGAACAAAUGUGUAAGUAACUAUGCACGUCUUGACGGUACCUAAACAGAAAGCCCCGGCUAACUACGUG